rnacentral:rRNA from 1 species
AACGAACGCUGGUGGCGUGCCUAACACAUGCAAGUCGAGCGUGAAAGUCCCUUCGGGGAUGAGUAAAGCGGCGGACGGGUGAGUAAUACAUGGGUAAUCUUUGCUUGAGCUCGGGAUAACCCCGCGAAAGUGGGGCUAAUACCGGAUAAGACCACGCGACCCAGGUUGCGCGGUAAAAGGUGGCUUAUUCUUUCGGGUUUAGGCUAUCACUUGGGAAUGAGCCCAUGUCCUAUCAGCUUGUUGGCGAGGUAAAAGCUCACCAAGGCUAUGACGGGUAGCUGGUCUAAGAGGACGAUCAGCCACACUGGGACUGAGACACGGCCCAGACUCCUACGGGAGGCAGCAGUGGGGAAUAUUGGGCAAUGGGCGAAAGCCUGACCCAGCGACGCCAUGUGGGUGAUGAAGGCCUUCGGGUUGUAAAGCCCUGUUAAGUGGGAAGAAGGAUUCAGAGGUAAAUAAUCUCUGGAUUUUGACGGUACCACUGGAGAAAGCACCGGCUAACUCCGUGCCAGCAGCCGCGGUAAUACGGAGGGUGCAAGCGUUGUUCGGAAUUACUGGGCGUAAAGGGCGUGUAGGCGGUAAUGUAAGUCAGACGUGAAAUCCUUUGGCUCAACUGAAGAACUGCGUCUGAAACUGCAUGACUAGAGUGCAGAAGAGGGAAACGGAAUUCCUGGUGUAGAGGUGAAAUUCGUAGAUAUCAGGAGGAACACCGGUGGCGAAAGGCGGUUUCCUGGUCUGACACUGACGCUGAGGCGCGAAAGCGUGGGGAGCAAACAGGAUUAGAUACCCUGUAGUCCACGCCGU